rnacentral:rRNA from 1 species
AUAAACGACUCUCGGCAACGGAUAUCUCGGCUCACGCAUCGAUGAAGAACGUAGCAAAAUGCGAUACUUGGUGUGAAUUGCAGAAUCCCGUGAACCAUCGAGUUUUUGAACGCAAGUUGCGCCCAAAGCCAUUCGGCCAAGGGCACGUCUGCCUGGGCGUCACG